UGGUGUUUAUUGCAACAGAACUUCAGAUUUUGCAACAUGAUAGUCUGAAAGACAGGCCAACACAGGCAGCUCUUUGGAAACAAGAGACCUGGUACUUCCAACAGCCAAAAAGCUGGCCAAACAUCAGGAACAAGGGAAAGACACAUCAGACACAUUUUUACCAAAAGGAUGAGGCAUAAUGGAGAUGAAAAACAAAUGGUACAGAUGAACUCAGAAUGCAAUGUCUAUGUCCACUGUGCUCUAACUCCUCCUCCUCCUCCCAAGAUGUGACUUUGCCAUACUUUCUCACCAAGUAUCUCUAGAGUUAAAGUUUCUGCCUGAGAAUCUCAAAGUGGAAGUCGCUAUCAAUAUUUAUUGCAAGG